UACGAAGGGGGCUAGCGUUGCUCGGAAUCACUGGGCGUAAAGGGUGCGUAGGCGGGUCUUUUAAGUCAGGGGUGAAAUCCUGGAGCUCAACUCCAGAACUGCCUUUGAUACUGGCAACCUUGAGUCCGGGAGAGGUGAGUGGAACUGCGAGUGUAGAGGUGAAAUUCGUAGAUAUUCGCAAGAACACCAGUGGCGAAGGCGGCUCACUGGCCCGGUACUGACGCUGAGGUGGCGAAAGCGUGGGAGCAACAGG
rnacentral:rRNA from 1 species